rnacentral:rRNA from 1 species
UACGGAGGGGGCUAGCGUUGUUCGGAAUUACUGGGCGUAAAGCGCGCGUAGGCGGUUCUGCACGUCGGGGGUGAAAUCCCGAGGCUCAACCUCGGAACUGCCUUCGAUACUGCGGGUCUCGAGUCCGGGAGAGGUGAGUGGAAUUCCUAGUGUAGAGGUGAAAUUCGUAGAUAUUAGGAAGAACACCAGUGGCGAAGGCGGCGCACUGGCCCGGUACUGACGCUGAGGCGCGAAAGCGUGGGGAGCAAACAGG